UUUUACACAUCAUGUAGCGCGCACACACAACGCUACGUUGCCAGGUUACAAUGGUUGUGGACGUUCUCAUCUUAUCUGGAGAAUGAGUUCAGUAGCGACUGCAGCUUUCAGAGGUCGCAGCCUUCGAAGUCUACCUCGGCUGCAUCCUUCAAAUUCCACGAAGGCCGAACCGAGCGGUCUCCGAAAUGACACGAAAUGCUGGUGUUUAUCUGGAUUGUGUUGCUGAGCUUGGAUACUGCUGCUGUAAUGUAAUGAAGUCUCCAAGGCAGGUAUUAACAUAUUUAUUACACUGUUAAGAGAACAACAAUACCAGAAUUAUACUGCAAAGUUUCACAGACUGACAGACCAUAGUUUACAGCCCAAAAAAGAAAAAAAAAAAAAAAUCAACAAAAAGAA